UGGCUCAGAACGAACGCUGGCGGCAGGCCUGAGGCAUGCAAGUCGAACGAGAAAGGUAGCAAUACCGAGUAGAGUGGCGCACGGGUGAGUAAUGUAUGGGAAUCUGCCCAGAAGUGGGGAAUAACAGUUGGAAACGACUGCUAAUACCGCAUACGCCGGAAACGGGAAAGAUUUAUCGCUUUUGGAUGAGCCCAUAUUGGAUUAGUUAGUUGGUGGGGUAAAGGCCUACCAAGGCGAUGAUCCAUAGCUGGUUUGAGAGAAUGAUCAGCCACACUGGAACUGAGACACGGUCCAGACUCCUACGGGAGGCAGCAGCUAGGAAUAUUGGACAAUGGGGGCAACCCUGAUCCAAGCCAUGCCGCGUGAGUGAAGAAGGCCUUCGGGUUGUAAAGCUCUUUUAAUAGGGAAGAUGAUGACGGUACCUAUAGAAUAAGCACCGGCUAACUUCGUGCCAGCAGCGGC
rnacentral:rRNA from 1 species